GGGAAUGUGGCUUAAUGGUAGAGUGCUUGUUUAGCAUGCAUAAAGCCCUGGGUUCAAUUCCCCAGUACCA
rnacentral:tRNA from 1 species